GAUGAACGCUGGCGGCGUGCCUAAUACAUGCAAGUCGAGCGAACAGACGAGGAGCUUGCUCCUCUGACGUUAGCGGCGGACGGGUGAGUAACACGUGGAUAACCUACCUAUAAGACUGGGAUAACUUCGGGAAACCGGAGCUAAUACCGGAUAAUAUAUUGAACCGCAUGGUUCAAUAGUGAAAGACGGUUUUGCUGUCACUUAUAGAUGGAUCCGCGCCGCAUUAGCUAGUUGGUAAGGUAACGGCUUACCAAGGCAACGAUGCGUAACCGACCUGAGAGGGGGGUCGGCCACACUGGAACUGAGACACGGUCAUGAGUACUACGGGAGGCAGCAGUAGGGAAUGUUCCGCAAUUGUCGAAAGCCUGACGGAGCAACGCUGCGUGGGUGAUGAAGGUCUUCGGAUCGUAAUACUCUGUUAUUAGGGAAGAACAAAUGUGUAAGUAACUAUGCACGUCGUGACGGUACCUAAUCAGAAAGCCACGGCUAACUACGUG
rnacentral:rRNA from 1 species